CCUUAACCCGUGCAUCCAACAUGUGGCACUGAGUCAUUAAAACCUUCAGUGCCACUUGUUUGUUGCAAUGGUCAAGGGU
rnacentral:pre_miRNA from 1 species